UUGGCUCAGGAUGAACGCUGGCGGCGUGCUUCAUACAUGCAAGUCGAACGAGAAUCUCUAGCUUGCUAGAGAGGAAAGUGGCGGACGGGUGAGUAAAAUGUAGAGAAUCUGCCCUUGAGAGGGGGACAACAGUUGGAAACGGCUGCUAAUACCCCAUAUGAGCGUACCUGAGAUGGUAUUCUUGAAAACUCCGGUGCUCAAGGAUGAGUCUGCAUCUGAUUAGCUAGUUGGCGGGGUAAUGGCCCACCAAGGCGACGAUCAGUAGCUGGUUUGAGAGGAUGAUCAGCCACAAUGGGACUGAGACACGGCCCAUACUCCUACGGGAGGCAGCAGUGGGGAAUA
rnacentral:rRNA from 1 species